CUUCAAGUGAUACUCCUGCCUUGGCCUCCCAGAUUGCUGGGAUUACAGAGUUGAAAGAUCACCUGGACCACUCCAUUCAGUUUACAGAAGACGACACUGAGGUCUCGAGUGAGGGAUUAAGUACCCAAGAUGUCACAGCAGAUAAUGGCAGAGUCAUGAUUUCUAACAAACAAACAGAAGAAGCAAGUCCCCUGCCUGUCGUCAGCCGGAGCCCCUCUGCUACGCCUGCUCCCCUGUUUCCCAUGGACUGCCUCAUCUUUUGCCUCUAGUUUGAGCCUGAAAGUUACACCUCCAAUGAAUGAAACUCACAGGAUCAUUGGCAUCCAGUCUUCCUCCUCCACACCCACUCUCGGCCACCUGCCCUUCUCAUCCACAGGUGGGAGCAAAGCUUGGUCAACCUGAUAGGCCUCUUCCAGGCAGGGACAGGAGAAGGGACGGCACAGCAGCUCUGAGUCAGGACUCCUUUCGGUAAGGCGUGGCCGCCAGGAAGGCCUGAGAGAAGGAAACCAGCCCAGGUGCGCUCUGUUUACCUUCUCGGCUCACAAACAUGACCAGACCCUCCUUGGCUGGCUGGAUGAAGUCCCAGCCACUUAGUCCAGCCCUCGAGCCUCUCCCAUUCCAGCCACAGUCUGCCUGGCCAGUUCCAUCCCCCUACGGCUUUCCUGGUGUACCACACCAUCCUCGGAUUGCAGCUCGCCCUCUUGGGCCUUUCUGGCCUAGCAGGUGCUGUUCCUUCAGCUCCAAUGCCCUUCCCUGCCUCUCCACCCGGCAAGCUCCUUCUCUUUGUAUCUUCUGCACUAACACUUCCCUCCUCCCUCCCCUUCCCCUCUUUUUCCUUUGUGCCCCGGUGGCACUUCUGAGACAAUGUUACAAGCAUAAUAAAAUAACAAAAUCAUGAAUCUGUG
rnacentral:lncRNA from 1 species